rnacentral:rRNA from 1 species
GACGAACGCUGGCGGCGUGGAUUAGGCAUGCAAGUCGAACGGUAUCAUCCUUUCGGGGGUGAGAGAGUGGCGAACUGGUGAGUAACACGUAGGUUAUCUACCCUCAAGACGGGGGACAACCCAGGGAAACUUGGGCUAAUACCGGAUGUGAGCAACUUUUAGUUGUUUGAAAGGUGGCGUAAGCUGUCGCUUGGGGAUGAGCCUGCGUCCUAUUAGUUAGUUGGUGAGGUAACGGCUCACCUAGGCAAUGAUAGGUAGGCGGCCUUAACGGGUGGUCGCCCACACUGGGAUUGAGAUACGGCCCAGACUCCUACGGGAGGCAGCAGUCGAGAAUAGUCUACAAUGGUCGGAAGACUGAUAGUGCGACGCCGCGUGAACGAUGAAUCCCUUCGGGGUAAAGUUCUUUUAUAUGUGAGCAGUGCUUCUUAUAUUAACAGUAUGGGGAAGAGAUAUUACGAUAUGAAUAAGCAACGGCUAACUCCGUGCCAGCAGCCGCGGU